rnacentral:misc_RNA from 1 species
UAACCGCAGGUGAACCUGCGGUAGGAUCAUUACAGAGUUCAUGCCCUCACGGGUAGAUCUCCCACCCUUGAAUAUUUAUACCUUAGUUGCUUUGGCAGGCCGUGGAAACACCAUGGGCUCCGGCUUAUGCGUGCCUGCCAGAGGAAACAAACUCUGUUUUUAGUGAUGUCUGAGUACUAUAUAAUAGUUAAAACUUUCAACAACGGAUCUCUUGGUUCUG